ACGCGGCGCGCGGCAGCCCAUGGCGAGGCCGCUCCUCUGCUCCGCGCCGCCCCUCUCCUGGUCCGGGCGGUGCGGGGUUCGCGGAUCCAGGCGGCGGGGGAGGACCUGCGGCGAGCAGGGCCCCCUUCUCGGCGUAUCACUGCGCGGCCUCCUCCGGUGAGGCUUCGACGUCCGCGACGGCCUCCCCAUCACCGGCGGUAGAAGAGGGGCGCCCCUCCCCUACCCCCUCCCCUUCUCCGGGCGGUGCGGGGUCCGCGGAUCCGGGCGGUGGGGAGGACCGGUGGCGAGCAGGGCCCCCUUCUCGGCGUAUCGCUGCGCGGCCUCCUCCGGCGAGGCUUCGGCGUCCGCGAUGGCCUCCCCAUCACUGGCGGUAGAAGAGGGGCCAUCGGCCGUGGCGCUCGGACUCGGAGGUCCGGCUCGCCAAGGCCGGUCGCAAGGACCUCAGUUCCUCGGCCGAACGGCCUGGCCCCGGCGUGCCGCCACAACGUGGCUGGCGGACGCGGCACUCGGAGGUCCGCCUCGCCGAGGCCUAAUCGGGGACGAUGACGUGGAUGUCGCCGCACGGGAGCCGCUGCUGGAGCCCUGGUUAAGGUUUUUGUCCACGGUGAUCUCGGGCGACCGGCGGCGUUGGCAGGCUGCUCCGCGCAGCUCAUGGCCGCCGUCUGUUGCAGCGUCACUGGCGCAAUGCCGUCUCUUGCAGCCUCGCCGGCGGACGAUCUAAUCGACUCGCAGCGUCUCCUUCAGCCUGACGAUCUCCUCGACUCCUCAUGCAGCAUCGCCACAGGGAAGCGAGGAAGUGGAACCUGCCGAUUGCUAGCGUGUGGCUGCGGCACGUUGCAUUACGAAUCCCAAAUUUCCAGUGCGUAAGCAUAUCUUGAACACGCCUCCUUUGCAUUCAGGUUUUAGUUCGAUCAUGAGGUCAUUGUGAAUGAGUAUAUAUGUAACAAUGUCAUAUGCUUCAGGCCAUUUAGUACAUGCGUAUGGGUAUAUAUGUACCAAUGUCAUAUGCUUCAGGUCAUGGAGUACAUUCAUGACGUUUUGACGAACACAUGCUAUCAGUUGCAAGUAACAGCAAUUCUCCCAUUUGGUGGAUUCAUCAUAAUGUGAAUAUAUAGGCCGGCGGAUGCGGCGACGCAGAGCUCGGCGUCGGAGGCCAGGAAGGCGGCACGGCACUACAGGAACUGGGUUAUCAUGCCGCCAUCUGCCCUUGAUAGAAAUUGGAGAUGGCCCAUCCCGUUGACUCCUCCUCUACUUUGCAUGUUCCGUUAUGUUUGAUUUUGAGGGAUGGCUCACGUCUUCACCUCUGGUCACAGAUUUAUACAGGAAAAACUGGAUGGGCGUGGCCUCCUUGUAUUGUUAGCGGCACAAACUUCUGCAUUUAGGCUGAAGGACAAUGGACCCGAGGAGGCUAAGACUUGAUGAGUUCUUACUGAUCAGAUCAGCUAUAUAUCCUUUCAACAAUUAUUAAAAGCUAUAGAUAAUAGGAGACAAGCUGGAAUGGCGUAAUCUUGGCCUGGUGUUUAGAUAACCUUGUAAUCUCAUCUUUAGGCAUAUUUUGUACAGAAAAGUUUUGUGUUUGCCUCCCCGAUUUGGUCUGAUGGAUGAUCAGGCUGCCGAGGCAUUCCAUCCCUUCUCCAUUUAAUAGACUAAGCAUUUAUCACAUUGCUAAACACUUUCAAGCUGCUGGACCACAAUAUGAAAUAUUUGGUGCUACUAGCUCCAUAAUAUGUGAAUUGAUCUCAUCUACAGUAGUACUCUUUGCUUGAACCAUACCUUUUUUUUAGAUUAUAGUCACUCAGCUAGAUUAGUUGACUUGUUGGAAAACAUAGCAAGUUAGUUGACAGAAAGCCACUCAAAGUAGGUCCCACUCAACUGAAUUGUGAGCUUUAUCUAUACUGUGAAUGUGGUUUGUAUGAUUGAUGUGCUUGUGUUCAACUUUAAAACUAAUUUGCAGCCAAAUGAGCUUCUAUUUUUUUAUUUGUUUAAAUGAUCUUAUUGGAUGACCAGUUGGUAAAAGGAGCUGUUAACCAGUUGGUAAAAAGAGCUGUUAACUUCAGCCUGUCUAUAUUGUUAACCUGAUUCCUCUAAUGUGUGUUUUUAUUCAUUCAUAAACGUAUUUUUUUCCUGAGAUACUGAAUUCAUGCAUUAAUGUGAACUGGUUAUGUCUACAUGACAGCUGAAUGGAAAAAAAGACAGAUACAUUGAAUUGGUAACUGAGUAGAGAGACAAGAAUUAAAAGGGAAGAUCACUUCAAAAGUUAUUUCUGUACCACAAGGAUAGAGACAAGAAUUUAAAGGUGGGGAAUCAUCCAGCAAAAGCUACUACCCAGUGAGGUGGAAUGGAUGGGUGACCUCAAGGCUCACAGGGACGACUUGGAGAGCAUGCAGAAAAGCUCUUUGGCUGGAGACUUGUAGCUGUUUGUAAACAUUCGCAUUUGAUAUGAUUUGGAGCACUUUACUCCGAAGAUAAUCAUACUGCUGACAUUCAUCUAGAGGUUCUGAAUUUUCAGUGAUGUCAUGUCAAUCCAAUAAUUGAAAAGAAACA